rnacentral:lncRNA from 1 species
GUGAGAAUAUUCAAAAUUCUCUCUUCUAGCUAUUUUGAAUGACACAAUAUAUUAUUGUUAACUCUAGUUACCCUACUGUGCAACAGAACACCAGAACAUCAUUUGCAGCAAAGGUAAACCUAGAGAGCAUUAUGUUAAAUGAAAUAAACCAAACACAGACGGACAAAUACCUCAAGAUCUCACUCAUAUAUGGAAUCUAAAAAGGUCGAUCUUAGAAUUACAGAGUAGUGUAAUGAUUACCAGAGUCUGGCGAGGCUAGACGUGGUGGCGAUGGGGAAAGGUUGGUCAGUAGGUUCCUCUUCUUUUGUUUAAUGUGAAAUUGGUGCUGUUAAGUUUGGCUUUGAUAUGCCCAGAAACAGUAAAGGAAAGAGGAAAGAGCAUAGUUGUUGGGGGCAGAUGGAUGAGGAGAAACCCAGAGGGCAUAUAGCUCACGGGUAAAAUACUGCAGACAUGUCCCUUAACCGCUUUGAGUCUCCAUUCCUUUAUUUAUAAAAUGGGCAUGAUCAAGUCAACUUUAUGUUUCUGUGAGUUUUACAGUUCUUGCUUUAGAGAAACUUGCCUACUUUCAGGCAUGUUUUCCCAAAAGCAACAUGGUAUCAAAAAACAAAAAGGACUUCCUUCAUCAAAAGAGAUAAUUUAUUUUAAAGACAUUAUUUUCACUUGAACCUAAGUAAACCUGAUGUCAAUAUGAGGCUUUUUCCAUACGUAACCUAUCAAAAGCUAUUGGAAAGGUUGCAAGAGCCAUCUCUCUGUCUCCUCUCUCUCUCUCUCUCUCCCUCAUUUGCUGUCAUGAUUCCUGGACUAGCCCGUCUCUCGACAUUAUAUAGCCUUAGACAACACAGGAUAGAUAGUAGCAUGAAGUGUGCAGAAGUAAGUCCACCAGUAGGAUUGCUAGGGCUAGCCACCCUGUUUUCUCCUUGAACUUGACCACAACAUGUUUUACCUUGUAUCUUGCUCCAAUCACAGCUGUUUCCGUAGAAAAAUCAUUUCUUGUGAUGGACUUUUGUCUCACUGGAGUAACACUCUUUCGUGAGGAUAGCAAAAGUUGUAGGGACAGCCUAAGAUUUUUUUUUUUAAGUGGUUUUGGUUUUGUGUUUAUGGAAUGUUUGUUAGUACAGCAGGAGUGAGACUGGAUAGAGUUGAAGGUGCUGAAAGUGUCAGAUGGCAGAGCUUCGUGGGGGCCCAUGUGAAUGCUUAGAGUUUUGGUAGCCAAAACUCAAGUAAUAUAGGUUAAAACAGGCCAGUUGGCUCAUCCCAAGAAGUGAUGGAAGACUUCUGGCUCUAUCUUUCCAGGAGGCAAGAAGAACAUCAGCUGGCAGCAAACAGCACCGUUCUGUUACCACCCAUCUUUUGCUGUUGUUGGUUUCUCUCAUCUCAAAAGAGAGUCUUAUUAUGUGUCUCGUUUAAAAUAUUCUUUGUGGAUUUCCAACAAAAUCCUCUUAAGUUCUUGAAUCCAAGAGCAGAACAGAAGAGGUGGUUUGCUUCCUAGACUUCCUGAAACAUCAGCUACUUUGAUAAAUAUUUAUUGAGCACUUAUUCUGAGUGACACAUUAAACAGCUAGAUGUUACAGAGGAUGCAUCAAUGAGGGAGAUACAACUCCAUUUCUCAGGGAAAGGGAACAUUUCCGGGAAGUGAGUAGAAAUAAUCAAUGAAGCAUAUACAAAAAUAACUGGAACCAAGGCAGAGUGAGACAGGUGCCAUAGAGGUCCACCCAGUGGUGACAUCAUAUUGGGUUGGAACUUACCAAGCAACAGCUCAUAGGGAAGUCUGCAUUUGAUAGGAAAUAAAGAUAAAUGGGUAAGGUUUUACCUGACUGGGAACAUAAAAUUAUGCAGAUAAGACAAAGCAUGGCUUAAAUUUUGGCUCUAAAGCCCAUCCUUAUCAAGCUAGUUCUCCUGCGACCUAGACCUAGGUUUCAGAACUGGGGCAAUGAUACCACGGGAAGGCAGGUACAUGUAGUGUUGAACAGAAUGGACUACAGAUCACACAGAAAUCAGUCUAAAUCCUAACACUGCCAAUUACUAUUAUUUGGCUGUGAGCAAAUCCCUUGAAUGUUCUAUUUCUCAGUUUUCUUAUUUGCAGUAUCAUGGUAAUAACAUCUGCUGCAUAUAAUUGUUUUAUAUAUUAAGAUAAUGUGUGUAAAAUACCCAACUUAAUGACGGACACAUAGAACACAAUGUUAGUGCUAUAAAAGCUGUAUAUGUUAAAGUAAACCUGUGGCUUUGGAAACAAGCCAAUGGAGAAUUGAUCCAGGUCGUGCAACUUACUAGCUGUGUUUAGUCUUGAGAAAUUGGUUAAUAUUUUAAAAUCUUGGUUUUAUCACUGCUUCUUAGCAGUAAUGUGAAGAUUAAAUAAUAUAUAUAAAAUACUUAAUAUUGUGACUAGAACACAGAAUGGACUUAAUAUGUUUAUUAUUUGUAUUGCUGUUAUUUAAUACACGUCUUAGGCAAAGACAGAGAUAUAAUUUGUUUUAAUCAUGAAGUGAAAUUUUGUAGAACAUGGGUGAGACUGUCAAUGAUUGCUCUCAGUGAACAACCACAUAUGAUUCCUUCCUGAUUAGGAAUCCCCUUCUCAUUCUGCUCUGGGUACUCUGGCCUUCUUGUUUCCACGUUAGAGCCUUCUGCUCCCUCUGUCCUGAAUUCCCUUCUUCCAGGUCUGUUAUCACUGGCUCCUUCUAAUCUCUCUUAUUUCAGGUGUGAUGUUGUCUUCUCCCAAGGACCUUCUCCAACCACACUACUCGAAGUGUGUCCAGAAUUGGUGGGCUCUUGGUCUCGCUGACUUCAAGAAUGAAGCCGUGGACCCUCGCGAUUAAACAAGUGCAACUUUCCCAAUCUCACACAACUACUUGUGGAGCCAGGAUUCCAUACAGGCAAUCUUCCACUGAGGAAGAAGAAGAGAGAAGAUUGAAGAGGUGGACCGGCUGCACAUUUCAUCAUGAAGAUUUAUCCGGAGAUCCAAGAGACUGACUCAGGCUAUGAAUCAGCUACGUAAGUUCCAUGAAAGGGCUAUGUCUUCUAAGAAAAAGGAUCACGCUGACCUCCACUUUCAACAAGUUGCCUCUAAGCAUGAAGUGACCCUAAGAGAUAGGAAGAUAAGGAGGUAAUGGGUCUGGUUGAGACCAAGCAUCCAAACUAAGAAAUAAAGUUUGCGUAUGGUAACAACAAUAAUAAUAUUACAAAUGGGACAUAAGACAUAUCUAUAAAGGGAACUAAGGUUUCACUAAUAACACUGCAUCUAAUAUUUCUGUGAAUCCCAAGUGAUUACUCGCAUACUAAAAAGCAACCACCUAACCCUCUUUGUCUGUUUUGUAGUAUAAGAAGGGAUAAAGAGAGAAAUUUGUCCCUGGCAUUACAUUUUCUUAUGCAAACUAAUUUAAAUCACACAUCUCAAUGUUGAAAGCUUGUCUGACAAGCAUUUCCAAAGCACAAAACAAAUCUCAUAACAGGUUAACUUGCACUGGGCUGAUGUUGGCAAAGGACUUUUAGUACUUCUGAGAAGGCUGAAAAAUAAUUUUUCUGCUAGGAAAAAAAAUGUACCCAAAUAUAAUGGUGUAUUAAGGGAUUAGUGCUAGAUUAAAGUAUUCUUUCUUCUCACAACCAGGGACAAUCUUUUGAUCUAAUCUAAGAGGUAAUCUAAUUUUAAUGCAAGUGGAAGAACUGAAAAGCUGCACAGAGUAUAAAAAGAAGGACUAAGGUAGUAGAGAAAGAGGAUCUUCCCUUUGCCAGGUAGGGGAUCCAUCUGAUAAGCUGGUAUAUGCCUUAGACUUACUGCUGUAUGUGUCCUAAUAGUUACGACUCCAUAAGUCACUAAGUAAAGAUACACAUUUAAAACUUGGGGAUUGACACAGCGGGAGCAUGGCUAUCUUGGACAAGCACCACCAUUCUAAAGUUCCCCUUGAUCAAAAACUGCCUAAAUCCAAAGGGCAUCAGCUUAAUGGCUAACGUCAGCAUGACCAUAAACCACAAAUAACAUCCCAGUCCAGAAACAUUCCAACCAUAAGAUAAACCCCUCCCCGACCAGAGACAGGUCAGCCCCAGGAUAACUUCCCUUCCAAACAGAGACAUUCCAACCCCACCAUAAAUUUCUCCCCCACACAGAAACAUUCCAAGCCUGUGAUAAAGCUCUCUCGCCCUAAAACCAAUAAAUACUCUUAGUCUGUAAGAGAGAGUGCUCCUGUCCAAAAAUUGGCCAGAAGCCCCUCUCAGGUUUAUUCUGCAAAAUUAACCUGUCUUUGACUGUUGAGCCGCUUUUCGUGUUUCUUUCCUGUUUCUUUAACUCUUACAGGGAUCUCUUGGUUCAGAACACAUUUGAGGGCCUGUUAUAUACUAGGCAUUAUCAUAUUUCUUGAUUCUUUUAAAUUUCAUUGAUUUUAAUAUCUAAAACUUCCCUAUUAGGUACCUUUUUCAGAUGAAGCAAACUAAAAUUUAGAAAAGUUAAGCAAUUUCCCCAAGGUCAUGUUAGUAUAUAUCUGGGAGAAUAACAAUUUGAAUUCACAUCUUUCCGACUAAGCCAGGCUGAACCCUUAAUGACCUUUCUCAACUAUCAGCUCACCUCUCCCCAUAAUGCAUAUUUUACAGCUCAAAAAGGAGAGGAAGGAAAAACCUUUAAACCCAUUGCUAGAAAGGGUGUAUUACGUACAAGGCAGAAUGGCAAGCACAGGAGAAAUCAUUAAAGAAUGUCAUAAAAGACCAAAAAAAAAAAAAACCCAUCCCAAGAUUUGUCCUCUUAUAUAUUGGGAAAGAGACCCGUUCCCCCACGGCAUGAACCAUCAGGAAAACCGGCUGUCUUUAGAUUUUCAUAAAUAAAUCCUCAGCCUUGGAUUGACAUUUUCUUUAUGAAGCCAUAGAGAAAUAAUUGCUACAUAUUUCAGAAUGUACUAGCUCAGCACUGUCCAAGAGAAACAUAAUGUGAACCACAUAUGCAAUUACGAAUUUCCAAGGAUUCACAUUUAAAAACUGUACAAAGAAAUGUUAAAUUAAUUGUAAUAAUGUAUUUUGUGUAGCCCAAUAUAAUCAAAAUAUUAUUUCAACAUCUAAUGUAUAUAAAAAUUGUUGGAGAUAAUUUAUAUCGUGAUAUGAAGUUUUUACAAUCUAGUAUAUUUUUAUACUUAACAGCACACUGAAACUCAAUGCUAAAUUUUCAGUGCUUUAGGUGAAAUAUAGUUUUAUUAGAACAAAAAUUGUGUUUGAUGAAAACUAUUUUACACUGCUUGAGUUUUUAAAUUUAAAUGGAAAUUAUACUGAAAUAAGAAUUAAAAUUAUCUGCUUAUUCAUACUAGCCAUAUUUUAAUUAUGUAAUAGCUAGUGACUACUAUAUUGAACAGCAGAGUUCUAGACAAAAAGAAAAUAUAAGAUUUUCUCAUGCUACAUCUAAGACAUUCAUAGUAAGCAACUAUGAAAAUGAAAGCUAACUCCAGUGUACUCAAGGCAGAGAAAAUGGAAGACAUUUACCAUAAAUCUUUCAUAUGCCCUUUUAUCUUUUGAUGAUUGUCCACAAUAUGAACAGGACAGGGCAAGUGCUGCAGGUAGGUUGUCUGUUCUUCCAAUACCAUUCUCAUAGAACUGACUGGCUAGAGAAAGGGUGACACUGGCUAAUGUGUCCCGACUCAU